AUGUUCUCACUGGCCCAUAUGCUCCCCAUUCUCCAGCACACUGGGCUGAGGAUGGUGAUGGAGAGGAGCAUGGGGAGGAGAGCUGGCUGUCACCCCUGGCAACCCUGACCAAGCAGAGCUGAGGGGAACCACUGAGCAGUGGGGACUGGUUCAGCUGAAGACAGACAUCUUGCUGAAAUCAAUGUGAAUAUUCACAUGCUCCAAGGCAGUCAAACUCCUGUCCAUCUUGUUGAACAUGGAUCAAAGAGCAUGCUUCAAUAAAGACAGGCCUGAACCUAGUCUUUGCUCUGGACCUAUACGCACAGGUAGGCCUGAACGCAAUGAGUGCUAUGAACCUACACGGGACAUAAGCGAAGAAGUGUUCACCACCAAAUUACUUGGAAAGGUCUUGUUUAUAAUAAAAAUUAAGCAUCCUCCUCUUCAA